rnacentral:rRNA from 1 species
GAUGAACGCUAGCUACAGGCUUAACACAUGCAAGUCGAGGGGCAGCAUGGUCUUAGCUUGCUAAGGCCGAUGGCGACCGGCGCACGGGUGAGUAACACGUAUCCAACCUGCCGUCUACUCUUGGACAGCCUUCUGAAAGGAAGAUUAAUACAAGAUGGCAUCAUGAGUUCACAUGUUCACAUGAUUAAAGGUAUUCCGGUAGACGAUGGGGAUGCGUUCCAUUAGAUAGUAGGCGGGGUAACGGCCCACCUAGUCUUCGAUGGAUAGGGGUUCUGAGAGGAAGGUCCCCCACAUUGGAACUGAGACACGGUCCAAACUCCUACGGGAGGCAGAAGUGAGGAAGAUUGGUCAAUGGGCGAGAGCCUGAACCAGCCAAGUAGCGUGAAGGAUGACUGCCCUAUGGGUUGUAAACUUCUUUUAUAAAGGAAUAAAGUCGGGUAUGUAUACCCGUUUGCAUGUACUUUAUGAAUAAGGAUCGGCUAACUCCGUG